CUAUGUCUCAGUCUUCGAAAAUCUUCUGCAGGAUUAGUUGAAUGUAACUGCUCUGACUUCAACUGAGCAAUUGCCAUGGCUUCGUCAUCAAAAUUUUGUCUCCGUAGUUCAAACUCCCUGUUAAGGUAAUUGACUACACAUAAACCGCCAUUAUUCUCUCUAAUGUUAGAAACUACGCUUUACGCUAGAGGGGGGUGAAGCACAUAAACUGCCAUUAUUCCCUCUAAUACCUCCAAGAUCUACACCGUUGCUGGCAAAUUCAAUAGGAGUGCUGCCCCCAGGAGUGUGAGUGCCCAUAGUUGUUGUGUCUUCAGAAUCAUAACCGCA
rnacentral:lncRNA from 1 species